rnacentral:misc_RNA from 1 species
CAUUAUCGUACAACCGAGGUGCAAGGGCUGUCGCUGACCUCCAAAGGUUGUGCACGCCCGAGCGCUCUCACACAAUCCAUCUCACACCCCUUUGUGCAUCACCGCGAGGGUCCCAGUGGCUGUAACGGCCCCAAGGUGGGAAUGCGAGGCGAUGUUUUCCCCAACGGAGUCCCGUGCUCUUGCUCCGAGUUCAAGACUGUCCCCUCCAGAAAACUUUGGAGCCUCCUUGACGUGAUAAGAUGGUUUUACGUUUUGGAUUUGGCACUGUCCCUUGGAUGCCUGCUUCUAACCGUCCCAUGGACAAUGAUGGUGCUCCGGUCAACCGCCGUUACGUUGGCGGGGGGAGGCUGGACCCACAAAGAAGAAAACCUGACCUCAAAU